UGCAAACGAAACGAGACGAAACGAAAACGAAACGAAUACGAGCCGGCUAGUUUGGCUCUCGAGCGGAUAAUUGAAUUAUGCGAGCCGAGGGGCCGGCUUCCGAAAGGGGAAGGAAGAAAGAAA